AAUGAAGUUUGCUCUAUCCUUAACAAGAAUCAAGAGAUCGAGAGGCUGGAAGGUGGUCGUUUCAGGAAAAAACUGAAGAUCAAACUUUGCAAAUAUUUGAAGAACACGGGUAAAAGAUCUACGGCACUGUUGAAUCAGAUGAGCUCGAGCGAUCCAGUGGGGGAAUCGAUCCGGGGGAGGAUAGCUUCGAACGUGGCACCAUCUCAUGAGUUCAGCCGGGCGUGGCCGGAGUUAUUCACCGGUGGCCGCCGUGGCUCGGUCAAUUCCACCGCGGUGUCAUCCAUGCCUUGCUCCUCCCUUACUGUACCUCUUCUAUACGUGGUUGCCAUGCGUGAGCAAAG
rnacentral:misc_RNA from 1 species